GACGAACGCUGGCGGCGUGCCUAAUGCAUGCAAGUCGCACGCACCGAGCUUGCUCGGUGAGUGGCGCACGGCUGAGGAUCACGUGGGAACAUGCCUCCUUGUGGGGGACAACAGCGCGAAAGCGCUGCUAAUCCCGCAUACGCUCGUGCAAACGAGGAAAGCUGGCAACAGCGCAGGGAGAGUGGCCCGCGGCCCAUCAGGNGGUUGGUGGGGUAAUGGCCUACCAAGCCGAUGACGGGUAGCUGGUCUGUGAGGACAGCCAGCCAGACUGGGACUGAGACACGGCCCAGACUCC
rnacentral:rRNA from 1 species